CAGCAGUCGCCGCGGUAAAACGGAGGGUGCAAGCGUUAAUCGGAAUUACUGGGCGUAAAGCGCACGCAGGCGGUUUGUUAAGUCAGAUGUGAAAUCCCCGAGCUUAACUCGGGAACUGCAUUUGAAACUGGCAAGCUAGAGUCUUGUAGAGGGGGGUAGAAUUCCAGGUGUAGCGGUGAAAUGCGUAGAGAUCUGGAGGAAUACCGGUGGCGAAGGCGGCCCCCUGGACAAAGACUGACGCUCAGGUGCGAAAGCGUGGGGAGCAAACAGGAUUAGAUACCCCAGUAGUCCCUGUCUCUUAUAC
rnacentral:rRNA from 1 species